AUAGCAAACAAAUAUUAAGGUCAGGUAUUUUUUCUUGUUUACAGUAAAUUUCGUACCUGUCUACCAGUAAAAUCCCUUUAUUACGACUAACCCAUAUCUGAUUACACAAAAUAUAUUAAAGCUGUGUUUGCUAUCAUCGGAAAUUUACCAAAAAAUCGAGUACACACUUAUUGAUAAGAAGAUAUUAUUAGUCUUCUCUCCAGUCAUUACUCAAUAUUUAUUUGCUAUAACAAAAUUGACAUAAACAGUGCGUUCUGCAUGGUUGUGCUUCCAAGACAAAAUCAAAAUGACGAGCAAUUUAUUAAAAAUUGGAUUUAUCGGAGGCGGAAAAAUGGCCCAAGCGAUGGCUAAGGGAUUUAUUUCAGCAGGAUUGGCAAAGGGUGAAACAAUGAUUUCUAGCUGCCAUCCGUCGGAUUUGGCGUCGGCGAAGGCUUUUAAGGAAUUAGGAGCUGAAUCUCUUUUCGAAAACGUCCCCGUAGUGAAAAAAUCGGACGUUAUUAUCGUUUCUGUGAAACCCUCCGUCGUUCCUAUAGCUUUAGGCGACAUAAAAAAAGCUCCAGAUGUAAAAGCCGACAAAUUAUUUUUAUCAAUCGCAAUGGGAGUAACAAUAAAACAGCUCGAACAGUUUUUGCCUUCGGAGUCUCGAGUGGUUCGAGUGAUGCCAAACACCCCCGCUCUCGUUCGGAGUGGCACUUCCGUCUUUGUCACUGGCAGCAAAGCCACCGAAAAGGACGCGGAGAUUACCAAAAAACUCCUCAAAUCAGUGGGGACAUGUGAACAAGUCACCGAGAAUUUAUUAGACGCCAUAACGGCCCUCAGUGGCUCCGGGCCCGCAUAUAUUUAUGUCUUAAUAGAAGCGCUCGCCGACGGCGGGGUGAAGAUGGGUCUUCCGCGGGAUUUAGCAUAUAGAUUAGCUUCGCAGACGGUUUUAGGGGCCGCGCAAAUGGUGAGGGACACCAAUACGCAUCCCGGAGUUCUCAAAGACGAUGUUACCUCCCCGGCCGGAUCUACGGCGGCCGGAUUGCAUUUUCUCGAACAGAAAGGUUUCAGAGCAGCAGUUAUCGGAGCAAUUGAAGCCGCUACCCAGAGAUGUCGCGAGGUUGCUCAAAGCGACCCAACAAAAUAAUUUCUAAAGCACCGUCAAUUCAUAAUCGUAGAUCAUUCUUAAUUUUAUUUAAUAGAAGGUUUGGGACGCGAAAUGUGGAGAAACAACGCCAAUUCUUGUGGUUUUCAUACUAGCGAAGUUAAUUAUUGCCAACGGCAAUCGCAUCUACUGAUUCCUUUGGAAUAAACGAUCACUCGAGUGGCAUGUAGAACAAUUGCUAUUUUGUUAUUAAUGGAAAUAAACAUUUUAUAGUUAA